rnacentral:rRNA from 1 species
UACGGAGGGAGCUAGCGUUGUUCGGAAUUACUGGGCGUAAAGCGCACGUAGGCGGCCAUUCAAGUCAGAGGUGAAAGCCCGGAGCUCAACUUCGGAAUUGCCUUUAAGACUGCAUCGCUUGAAUCAUGGAGAGGUCAGUGGAAUUCCGAGUGUAGAGGUGAAAUUCGUAGAUAUUCGGAAGAACACCAGUGGCGAAGGCGACUGACUGGACAUGUAUUGACGCUGAGGUGCGAAAGCGUGGGGAGCAAACAGG